rnacentral:rRNA from 1 species
UACGUAGGAUGCAAGCGUUGUCCGGAAUUACUGGGCGUAAAGGGCGCGCAGGUGGCACUACAAGUCUGAUGUAAAAUCUCCCGGCUUAACUGGGAGGGGCCAUUGGAAACUGUAGAGCUGGAGUGCAGGAGAGGCUAACGGAAUUCCCGGUGUAGUGGUGAAAUGCGUAGAUAUCGGGAGGAACACCAGUGGCGAAGGCGGUUAGCUGGCCUGUAACUGACACUGAGGAGCGAAAGCCAGGGGAGCAAACGGG